rnacentral:rRNA from 1 species
GGGGAAUAUUGGUCAAUGGGCGCAAGCCUGAACCAGCCAAGUAGCGUGAGGGAAGACUGCCCUAUGGGUUGUAAACCUCUUUUGUGCGGGGAUAAAGUGUGGGACGUGUCCCAUAUUGCAGGUACCGCACGAAUAAGGACCGGCUAAUUCCGUGCCAGCAGCCGCGGUAAUACGGAAGGUCCGGGCGUUAUCCGGAUUUAUUGGGUUUAAAGGGAGCGUAGAUGGGUUGUUAAGUCAGUUGUGAAAGUUUGCGGCUCAACCGUAAAAUUGCAAUUGAUACUGGCAGUCUUGAGUACAGUUGAGGUAGGCGGAAUUCGUGGUGUAGCGGUGAAAUGCUUAGAUAUCACGAAGAACUCCGAUUGCGAAGGCAGCUUACUAACCUGUAACUGACAUUGAUGCUCGAAAGUGUGGGUAUCAAACAGGAUUAGAUACCCUGGUAGUCCACACGGUAAACGAUGAAUACUCGCUGUAGGCGAUAUACAGUCUGCGGCCAAGCGAAAGCAUUAAGUAUUCCACCUGGGGAGUACGCCGGCAACGGUGAAACUCAAAGGAAUUGACGGGGGCCCGCACAAGCGGAGGAACAUGUGGUUUAAUUCGAUGAUACGCGAGGAACCUUACCCGGGCUUAAAUUGCAACCGAAUAUGGCGGAAACGCCAUAGCUAGCAAUAGCGGUUGUGAAGGUGCUGCAUGGUUGUCGUCAGCUCGUGCCGUGAGGUGUCGGCUUAAGUGCCAUAACGAGCGCAACCCUUGCCGAUAGUUACUAACAGGUUAUGCUGAGGACUCUGUCGGGACUGCCAUCGUAAGAUGUGAGGAAGGUGGGGAUGACGUCAAAUCAGCACGGCCCUUACGUCCGGGGCUACACACGUGUUACAAUGGGGGGUACAGAGGGCUGCUACCACGCAAGUGGAUGCCAAUCCCAAAAACCUCUCUCAGUUCGGAUUGAAGUCUGCAACCCGACUUCAUGAAGCUGGAUUCGCUAGUAAUCGCGCAUCAGCCACGGCGCGGUGAAUACGUUCCCG